CAUGGCAAUGAGCAGAGGGCGGGGCCUGUCCCCCAGCAGGGCGGGGCCGGGGCCGGGGCCGGGGGCGGGGCUGCUCGCAUGGCGCCGGGCGCGCCCCGCCGCACGCCGGGCCCCCCCGGUGCCCCCCGCGCCCCCCCGGUGCCGCCGCCCCGCCCCGGGAGGAAGAACCGAAGGAGUUCCGAGUGGCCGGUGCAGCGGAAGCUGCGGGAACUCUUUGCCGUGCCGCGGAACGUGGUCAGCGUGUUCAGCCUGUUCCUGGUGGAGCUGAUCCGCUUCCUCGGCGAGGCCGUGGUGCAGGCGCUGGUGGUCGGUGUCCUGACGGCCGUCGGUGAGCACGUGCUGAAGCCGCUGCUGGCGGCGUUGUUGCACAGCCUGCUGCAGCCGCUGCUGCUGUUCGUGCAGAAGGUGUUGGGCGGCGUGCGGGACGUGGCGGAGCCGCUGCUAGACGUGCUGGCGCGGCUGUGCUCGCAGCUGGCCGUGCUGCUCCGCGCCGUGCGCCUCGUGGAGAUCCGCCUGCGCCCCGACCUGCGCGCCGGGCCUGCCGACUGA
rnacentral:lncRNA from 1 species